rnacentral:rRNA from 1 species
AUUAAACGCUGGCGGAAUGCUUUACACAUGCAAGUCGAACGGCAGCACGGGAGCUUGCUCCUGGUGGCGAGUGGCGAACGGGUGAGUAAUACAUCGGAACGUACCCAGGAGUGGGGGAUAACGUAGCGAAAGUUACGCUAAUACCGCAUAUUCUGUGAGCAGGAAAGCGGGGGAUCGCAAGACCUCGCGCUCUUGGAGCGGCCGAUGUCGGAUUAGCUAGUUGGUGAGGUAAAAGCUCACCAAGGCGACGAUCCGUAGCAGGUCUGAGAGGAUGGUCUGACACACUGGGACUGAGAACAGGCCCAGACUCCUACGGGAGGCAGCAGUGGGGAAGUUUGGAAAAUGGGGGCAACCCUGAUCCAGCCAUGCCGCGUGAGUGAAGAAGGCCUUCGGGUUGUAAAGCUCUUUCGGCGGGGAAGAAAUGGCAACGGCUAAUAUCCGUUGUUGAUGACGGUACCCGCAUAAGAAGCACCGGCUAACUACGUGCCAGCAGCCGCCGUAACAC